GAGGACAGUCCUUCCUGCUCCUCCCCCAGCCGAGCAGCUCAUUUUGUCCCCAACCUUCUGUCUCCCCUUCCUCCACUCCCCUGAAUUCUUUCAGGCAGGGAUGCAGUUGGGGAGUGAAAAAAGGGCUCCUUUCCCCUCCUCCAGGAGAUUGUCACCCACCCCUUCAUAAGCUGCCUUCUCACGGUCCCUAUUCGCUGAGUCUUGCUCACUCCGACUCACCUGGACCCUGAAUGUGUAUUUGGCCUUUUUCAUUCCUCCACUGUCCUUAGCACAGGCGGAAGUGGGACUUGGGCUGUGGCAAAGAAUACUCCCUGUGGGAGGAAGGACCUGGGUUAGGCCUGGAAGAGCCAAGAUCAGAUAGGUAAGCAGGAGGGAUGGGCCUGCAGGCUGGCAGAACAGAACCCAGGCGCGGAGGCAGGAGGACGUGGGCAGCCUCAAAUUCAGGUGGAGACGGGAGACCCUCUAAGGCGUGGUUGGCAAAUUUCAGAUCACGACCCCUCGGUGGGUGAUCAAAAUUAUUUCUUUGGCUACAAAGAGCAUUUUUUAAAAGUGAAAUAGAGUAGAGUAGAAGCAGGUAGGAUAGAAAUGACAAUGUCAGAGGGUAUCCCGCAUCGUAAGGAUUCUUACCAUUUCCUGAAAUUGACAUUGCAAUUUUCGAUGCAACAUGUGAGGAGACGGGCUCAGAGAGGCAGCUCGGGGGCAGAACUGGGGCCUGGACACGGACCUCCUGCCCAUGGGGCUCCUUCUCUACACACUGUCCCACCUUCUCCGGCUGACGGAGCAGAAGGAACUCAGCUCUUCAACACUCUGGCCCCUAUUAGUUUUACCAUCCCAAGGACACUCCACUUUUUUUUUUUGCACCAACGGGAAGCUGAGUCAUCUGAAGGGGUCAGAUGGCCCAGAUGUUAACAAAGGCUGCUUCCCCGGAGGCCAGCUGGGAGAGAUGCCACCCCCACCCCGGAAUGUUCCUCCCUCCCGCAGACACUAAAUAGAGCACUGCCCGAGGCCCAGCUCGGGCUAGAUGCAUCCAGUAGAUGGCGGAGUCUCACAGGACACGGGCUGGGGAACCCGGCUGUCGCAGGAAAAACCGGAGGGAGAAAAUCGGCUCCUGGGCCCUCCCCUUCAGAUGCACCCAGCCCUCUCUGGGGAAAAAGAGAAGACUUCCCGUGCGCGUCCCAUCAUACCCGGGGAACCUCGAGAUCCUGGACCGACCAGGCAAGACGGGCCCUGACCCACCGUCUCGUCCGGGGUACCCAAGGAAUGGGGAAGUACAGGCUAGACAAAGGAAGUGACGUCACACAGCCAGGCAGUGGCCGAGACCCCACUAGAAGCCCAGAUGCCUGGGGUUUCUUCCCCCUUAGUCUUUAAGAAGUGACUUUGUGCUCUUCAUUCAUUCGUUC